UCGUGUCGUGAGAUGUUCGGGUUAAGUCCCGUAACGAGCGCAACCCUUGUCCUUAGUUACCAGCACGUUAUGGUGGGCACUCUAAGGAGACGUGCCGGUGACAAACCGGAGGAAGGUGGGGAUGACGUCAAGUCAUCAUGGCCCUUACGGCCUGGGCUACACACGUGCUACAAUGGUCGGUACAAAGGGUUGCCAAGCCGCGAGGUGGAGCUAAUCCCAUAAAACCGGCCGUAGUCCGGAUCGCAGUCUGCAACUCGACUGCGUGAAGUCGGAAUCGCUAGUAAUCGUGAAUCAGAAUGUCACGGUGAAUACGUUCCCGGCCUU
rnacentral:rRNA from 1 species